UUUUAAAAACCAAUACAGGUUUUGCAGUCUGGGGUAAAUAUCUUUAGUUUUGGUAACAUACAUUAAGUGGCACUAAUUACACAGAAAUUAUUAGGUAACUAACGUGAAACCACAGAACUGUAACUGCCACAGCCACAUGGACAUGGCCUUUCUGGCUGAGCACAUUUUAAAAAAAAAAACAAAACUGGAUGCCCACACCAAAACUAUGCCAAGGAAAUCUGUUAAGCAGUAAAGCUCUGAAGUGGUGACUCACUAGAGUACCUAGAUAUAGAAUAGAUUUAGAGAGAUUUUCUGUAAGAAAUUGGUAUAGAUAUAGAGAUUUACUCCAGAUGUAGAGAGAUUUACUAUAAGAAAUCUGAGAAGGAAGUGGAGAAGUACAAGACCUGGAGUCAUCGGCAAGCUGGAGACCCAAAAGAUCCAGUGGGAUAACUUCCAGUCUGAAGCCGAGGCGAAAAGCAAGAGAAGACCAAUGGCCCAGCUCGGAGACAGGUCUGUGCUCAAAGUCAGCGACCUUCAAUGGUACAACAUUGCUGUCGUCGAUUUAUCCUGCUUUUUUAAGUUGGUUGGUUAGUUUUGUUGUUGUUGUUUUGCACACAUCUGGAAACCUUCCUGGAUGAGAUGAUGCUUGAGUUGGAUAUUGAAGGAUGAGAGAGCAGGAAGCAUCCGAAUCCCACAGAAUACCAUAUACAUGACAAUAAUUGAGCCAUCAUUGCAUAAUAAUGACUAUACUCACAUAAAACUGGAGUGAUUUUUCUUUCCUCCCUUAAUAAUUCUGCCCCACCCCUCGUAUAUGGACCACCAAAUUCUACAUCCAUGCUUCUAAGUGGCAUUGGAGACUGAAACGUUCCAAGGAAUGUCAUAUAUCUGAUUCUUAGAGUUCUGCCUUCAGGGAUAACUCAUUUAUUCAGAUGCUGCUUAUCCUCAAGUCACACCUCUGUCUCCCCAUCCCCACCAGCGAAGCAAGCUGAGGACACGUGCACAGGGCACAGGAGGAAAGCAAAAAGGCCUCUGAGCAACUUGCUUGAAUACCACACUGCAGCAAAGCUUGUGUGUUUUUUUAAAAAAUCCGUUUUUCCAGGUGUUGAAUCAUUAUUUACGAUAGCCAAGAUAUGAAAGCAGCACAGCCUUAUUUAACAUGAGGUCGUAUGGUGAAAGCCAUGAGGGAGUGUCAGAGUCUCCAGGGAGAGUAACUGUGGGUGAAGAAAAGGAAACGGAUCCAAAGGGAAAAGACGUGGCGCCAGUGGUUCUUUCUGCCUGCUGUUAUUUCCUGCCCCGGCCUGUGCAGCCACCUGAUGCGUCCCCCUGGCUGCUUUCUAGACCCGAGGCUCAGGACGCUCUCAAGAGCUCCUCUAUUUGGAGGAGAUUCAAAGACACUUGAAGGAGAAGGUAUAAAAACCUUGAGUUAAUACAAGCGAGUUGUAUUAACAAGAGGGAAAUUCUCACUGAUGAAACUAUUUGCCUUGUUUCCUUUAUUUCUGUUUAACCGUGACAACUUUAAAAAUAAGAGCCUAGACUUAAAAUAUUUUUAAAUCUUGGAAAGACAUUCUUGCGUAGACAAUCUUUGAAUUCCAAGCAGUGACUUUUAAGAAGUAAUUUCAAGGAUUAAUAUUUUGAAAACGCAGAAUUGUUCACCUUUCUUAAAAAUCUCUUCUCCCUACCCUCCUACACUGUUGGUGGGAAUGCAAGCUGGUGCAGCCACUCU